rnacentral:misc_RNA from 1 species
UUUCCGUAGGUGAACCUGCGGAAGGAUCAUUAUUGUAUAACCGGGGUGCGAGAGCUGUCGCUACGCCGCAAGGUCGUGCACGCCCGAGUGCCCUCACCCCCCUCCAUCUCACCCCUAUGUGCGCCACGGCGUGGGUCCCCCUUUGGCUUGUUCGGUGGCGGGCUUACGUUUUCACACAAGCUUUGUACGCAGUGUAGAAUGUAUGUUUUGUUUUUGCGAUCACGCAAUCAAUACACCUUUCAACAGCGGAUCACUUGUCUCUACCACCGUUAAAGAACGGACAUCGCUUUCCCGAGGGGAACCGGAGGAGGAAGUAAUAUUCUUUACACGGGGUCCGUGGGCUGACCAGCAGCGGAAUCGUCGCAGACUCCCAAGUCCCCUAACCCACCGCCAUCGCUCCCCUUUGUGCGCCUUCGCGGGGGUCCCCCUUUGGCUUGUUCGGAGGGGGGCUUACGUUUUCACACAAACCUUGCACGUAGUGUAUAAUGUAUUCUUUGUUUUUGCGAUCCCGCAAUCAAUACAACUUUCAACAACGGAUCUCUUGGCUCUC